UAAGACUGUUACCCAUGCCACACAAUGCUUC
rnacentral:piRNA from 1 species